rnacentral:lncRNA from 1 species
CUAUCUGAUAACUGGCCACCAGAGGGCGGCAAAGCGCUAUCAGUUGACUGCUUACAUUGGCAAUGGUCAGAACAGGGCGCGGGUGUGCAUAUUUACAAGGAGGACUGUGGAAACAGGAUGGAACUGUAUGAGUGGAAACAGACAUGCCUUCCUUGGGGGAGCACAGAAGUCCUGGGCACUCACAACAGCACUGGAGAAACCAGGUUCCCUGCCACCUUGAGGAAAGGUCUGAAGCAAGAUCAUCUCAGAAUGAAGAGCAGCAAAGGCUGGAGGGCAAUGGCAUACUGAAGAACCUACUGACUCCAUUGUAUCUUCUGUCCAAAGGGUCACCUUCUCCAGAUGCCCACCUCUAUCCUGUGGCCUGCAACUAGCAGCCUGCCCCAUCCUCUAUCCUGUGACCCGGAACUAGCAGCCUGCCCCAUCCUCUAUCCUGUGACCCGGAACUAGCAGCCUGCCCCAUCCUCUGUCCUGUGACCCGGAACUAGCAGCCUGCCCCAUCCUCUGUCCUGUGACCUGGAACUAUCAACCUGCCCCAUCCUCUGUCCUGUGACCUGGAACUAGCAGCCUGCCCCAUCCUCUAUC